GCCAGGCGUGGUGAUGCGCGCCUGUAAUCCUAGCUACUUGGAAGGCUGAGCCGGGAGGAUCGCUUGAAUACAGGAGUUCUGGGCUGCAGUGGGCUAUGCCGAUCGGGUGUCCGCACUAAGUUCGGCAUCAAUAUGGUACCUCCUGGGAGCCGGGGAACACCAGGUUGCCUAAGGAGGGGUGAACUGGCCCAGGUCGGAAACGGAGCAGGUCAAACCCACCUCUUGAACUGUGGGUGUCACAGAGGGCGUAUCAACCCACCUCUCAGCAGAACACACGGGUCCU
ensembl:misc_RNA Metazoa_SRP Metazoan signal recognition particle RNA